GACGAACCGUGCGAACGUUGUUCGGAAUCACUGGGCUUAAAGCGCACGUAGGCGGAUUGUUAAGUCGGGGGUGAAAUCCUGGAGCUCAACUCCAGAAUUGCCUUCGAUACUGGCUUUCUAGAGGCUGGAAGAGGUUAGUGGAAUUCCCAGUGUAGAGGUGAAAUUCGUAGAUAUUGGGAAGAACACCAGUGGCGAAGGCGGCUAACUGGUCCAGAUCUGACGCUGAGGUGCGAAAGCGUGGGGAGCAAACAGG
rnacentral:rRNA from 1 species